GCCCUCAUAGUUAAAUGGAUAUAACACGUCCCUCCGAAGGAUGCGUUGCCGGUUCGAUUCCGGCUGAGGGUGCCA
rnacentral:tRNA from 1 species